UUUUUCUUUCUUUUUCUUCUCCUCCUCUUCUCUUCUCCCGAUUUCUCCUUCCCCCUUUCUUCCCAUUUCUUCUCCCGUGGAGGGAGGAGGGCGAGCUCGGGAGGCUUGGGAGGAACGGCCUGCGGCCGAUGGCGCCCGGCAGCCGGCCUGCGGCGCCCACGGCCACACCCGCGGCCGUGCCCGUGGUCGCGCUCGGGGGUGCAUCGGCGGCCUGCGGCCGCGUCUGCAUCCUGCUGCCGGCGACCCGCGUCCCAUGGCCGACGACCCGCGGCCCACGGCCGAGGCCGGCGCCCGCGGUUGCGGAUCAACCACCGAAGAACGUCCGCCUCCUACUCCGGCAACGCGGCCCUUUACUCCGGCGGCGUGGGUCUAACACCGGGUCCUGCCAAUCGGAGAGGAUUGUGAGAGAGGGAGACAAACAGUGGAGGAGGAGGAUGAACGGGUGGUGAAAUGGUAGCCGAUCGGGGCUUCUUGUAGCCUCGAUCACUGGGAAGGCGGACGGUUGUAACCGCCCACCAUCAGGCGUUACGAACGCCUGCACGAUGGUGUAAUUGCCCUCCCCCCUCCGUUUCUCUUGGAAGUGGGGCGGUUAUCACAAAAAAUAGCUUUGGAGUGGGUUGAUCCGAAAAUUCUGAAUAUUUCAAAAAUCAUCAUAUUAGGUGGACCAUGAAAUUUUAAAAAGAGACCAAGUUCUCUCCCCUUCUU